rnacentral:lncRNA from 1 species
AUUCAACCAAAGAGAGAUCCAAUUUUUGCAUGUGUAAAUCCGAAACCAUAGAUUCCAAGAACUGGUUUAUUUCAUUUUCUUGUUACUGCACAAGUGAAGUAUACACAUUAAUACAACAAGAAAUUAAACUAUAUUCAAAGAUGCCUUACCUCACACCUUUAAUAGCUUUGAUGCCAGAUUUGUUGGGUAUUUUGACCCAAAACCGCAAUCAACACAAAUAACACAAAUGCACAGUGCAGGAAAAAUAAAGAACAUGGUAAAAUUGUUCACCUAGUUCAGCCUAAACGGCUUAAUCUGGGGGGCUCAGAGUUAGCCUAAUCCACUGGUGCAAAUCUACCUCCCAAAGAGAGUAAAGUACAGAGAACUAAUGGAAACAAUUAGAUGGAUUAUCGAUCCAAACGAAUCUCAAAUCUGGACACAAAAAUCUCCUUCCUUACAAAAUGGCCACAAACACAAACUACAGCAGAUCGCUAACUAACCGAAAAAUCACACAAGGAGUAACACAUACUCCAGAUUCAAAACCAAGAAGAGAGAAGAAGAAAUCUUCGAAGAAGAGAGAGAGAGAAAAUCGAGAGUCAAAAAGGUAGUAAAUUGAAG